UAUUUAUAUAAAAUCAUUUUAUUAUAGUAUAGGUUGUUUUUUUUACAUUCAUACAAAUUUAUAAAAACCAAAAAACUUAGGACAUGUUGGCAGUUGAACAAAUGGCUAAGACCACCAAGGGAGCUUUUGAUGCGCUUAAAAUUACUUGGAACCAAGUAAAGAGGGACUUUAUGGAAUCAUUCUUGAGCACGUUUCAUUCUUUCAUUCCCUGAAAACUUAAAGAACAACCAAAAACACAUAUGUAUAUAUAUAUAUAUCUCCAUCCUCUGGCAUAUAUCUACACACACACACACACACACAUAUAUAGAGUGAGAGAGGAGGGGUGGGAGAAAGAAAGAGAGAGAGCAUGUGUGUGAAUAUUUGUAGAUGAUAGGUAGGUGAUAGAUAGAUAGAUAGAGCUAGAUAGAUAGAUAGAUAGAUAGAUAGAUAGGAUGGAUAGAUAGAUAGAUAGAUAGGUAGAGAUAGAUAGAUAGACGGAUGGAUAGAUAGAUAGAUAGGUAGAGAUAGAUAUAUAGAGCUAGAUAGAUAGAUAGAUAGGUAGAGAUAGAUAGAUAGAUAGAUAGAUAGAUAGAUAGACGGAUGGAUAGAUAGAUAGGUAGGUAGAUAGGUAGAGAUAGAUAGAUAGAUAGGUAGAGAUAGAUAGAUAGAUAGAGAGAGAGAAAGAGACAGGAAGAGAUAGAUAGGUAGAGAGAUAGGUAAGUAGAUACAGAAAGAGAUAGGUAGAUAGACAAACAGAUAGAUUAGACAGACAGAUAGAUAGAUAGACAUAUAGAUAGAUAGACAAAUAGAUAGACAGACAGAUAGAUAGAUAGACAGACAGACAGACAGACAGAAAGACAGAUAGACAGACAGAGGUUGGGAAUUUUUUUUUUUUAAUUAUUAUUUUGGUUUAGAAAAAAUUAUUUUUGGAGAUUUAAAAAAUUUAGAAAAAUUAGUAGAGAAAAAUAUAAAUAAUUACAAAGAAGACAAAAGUAAGUGGGGAAAAAAACCAGAAAUUAUCCAAAUAUUUUGCAAGAAUCAUUUCAAUUAUAAUAACGAACCAUAAACGAACAUUUAAUUAUAGACAGCUGUGAUAGACCCCUGUAAAAAGGGGUGAAUCUUAUGUGCGUCAUAAAUAUUAUAAUACAGUAUAUAUGAAACCAUCUUUGUCUUUGUGUAAAAAGAUCUGUUAAAACCUCAACAACCAACUAAUAUUAAGAGAAUGCCGGUUCUAUGGAAACGGCUGAGUUAAAUUGAAAUUAUAGUUUGCAUCUGAGAUGUCACUGGAAGUGGUGGUGGUGGUGUGAGAUGGGGGCAGGGAAUAGGGGUCAGGAACUUUGAGAGAGAGAGAGAGAAAAUAAAGGAUUGGGGGGGUUUUGAGUUAUUCACAGUAGCAGUUAGAAAAUUUGAGGAGAGCCCAAUGAACAGAGAGGGAAAAAAAAUGCACACACACACACUCAUACACUGCAACUAUAAGGUUGUCCCAAAAGUUCGUAGAAAGUCUUGGAAAAUAAUGGUCUUUAUUUUGAGGGAUAAUUUUUGUUGUUUUUGUUAGUACUUGGCGAGUAAAAAUUCAAUUUUCGCAAGUGUUUACGAACUUUUGGGACAACCUAAUAAUAAUAAUAAUAAUAAUGGUAAUUUCAAAUUUUGGCACAAGGCCAGGAAAUUUGGGGGGAGAGGGGAUAAGUCGAUUAGAUUGACCCCAGUAUCCAACUGGUACUUGUUUUAUCGACCCCCAAACGAUGGAAAGUAAAGUCACCCUCAGCAGCAUUUGAACCCAGAACGUAGACGGAUGAAAUGCCACUAAGCAUUUUGCCCAGCAUGCUAACAGUUCUGCCAGCCCACCAACCUUAAUAAUAAUAAUAAUAAUAAUAAUAAUAAUAAUAAUCUUUUCUACUAUAGGCACAAAGCCAGAAAUUUUGGGGUGAGAGGGCUAAUUGAUUACAUUGACCCCCGAAAGGAUGAAAGGUAAAGUCAACCAUGGUGGAAUUUGAACUCAGAACGUAGCGACAGGUGAAAUACCGCUGAGCAUUUUGCCCGAUGCGCCAACAAUUCUGUCAGCCCCCCGCCUUAAUAAUUAUAAUACUUUCUACUAAAGGCACAGAGCCUGAAAUUUGGGGGUUAUGGGUGGGGUGGAUAAGCCGAUUACAUCGACCCCCAGUGUUUCCCUGGUAUUUAUUUUAUCAACCCUGAAAGGAUGAAAGGCAAAGCUGACCUUGGCAGAAUUCGAAAUCAGAACCUAAGGAUGGACAAAAUGCUAAUGAUUCUGUUGGCCCACCACCACAAUAAUAAUAAUAAUAAUAAUAAUAAUGGAAAGGAAUAUAGAAAGACAGAAAGAAACCUGAUAUGGUGUGUGGAUGAUAUCGAAGUGAAAUAAAGCUAAGGAUAUCAAAUAUACAAGAUUAUAUUACUCUUUACUCUCUUUGACUUGCUUCAGUCAUUUGACUGUGGCCAUGCUGCAGCACCGCCUUUAGUCGAGCAAAUCGACCCCAGGACUUAUUCUUUGUAAGCCUAGCCAAACCGCUAAGUUAUGGGGACGUAAACACACCAGCAUUGGUUGUCAAGCGAUGCUGGGGGUGGAGGAACAAACACGGACACACAAACAUACACACAUACAUAUAUACGACAGGCUUCUUUCAGUUUCCAUCUACCAAGUCCAUUCACAAGGCUUUGGUCGGCCCGUGACAAUAGUAGAAGUCACUUGCCCAAGGUGCCAUGCAGUGAGACUGAACCCGGAACCAUGUGGUUUGUAAGCAAGCUACUUACCACACAGCCACUCCUACGCCUAUAUACAGAGGGAAAAAAAAAUUUGUGGGUUUAAAAAGCAAAAUAAAAGAAAAGAGGGAGUGGAGUUUAGUUAGAGAGGGUGGUGGGGAUGGGUGGAGUAUACCUAUUUCUUUAUUACCCACUAGGGGCUAAACAUAGAGGGGACAAACAAGGACAGACAUAGGUAUUAAGUCGAUUACAUCGACCCCAGUGCGGA
rnacentral:lncRNA from 1 species